AUUGAACGCUGGCGGCAGGCCUAACACAUGCAAGUCGAGCGGAUGAAGGGAGCUUGCUCCUGGAUUCAGCGGCGGACGGGUGAGUAAUGCCUAGGAAUCUGCCUGGUAGUGGGGGAUAACGUCCGGAAACGGGCGCUAAUACCGCAUACGUCCUGAGGGAGAAAGUGGGGGAUCUUCGGACCUCACGCUAUCAGAUGAGCCUAGGUCGGAUUAGCUAGUUGGUGGGGUAAAGGCCUACCAAGGCGACGAUCCGUAACUGGUCUGUGAGGAUGAGCAGUCACACUGGAACUGAGACACGGUCCAGACUCCUACGGGAGGCAGCAGUGGGGAAUAUUGGACAAUGGGCGAAAGCCUGAUCCAGCCAUGCCGCGUGUGUGAAGAAGGUCUUCGGAUUGUAAAGCACUUUAAGUUGGGAGGAAGGGCAGUAAGUUAAUACCUUGCUGUUUUGACGUUACCAACAGAAUAAGCACCGGCUAACUUCGUG
rnacentral:rRNA from 1 species